UACGUAGGGGGCGAGCGUUGUCCGGAAUUACUGGGCGUAAAGCGCAUGUAGGUGGCUGAUUAAGUCUGAGGUGAAAGGCCAGGGCUCAACCGUGGGAUUGCCUUGGAAACUGGUCAGCUUGAGGGAUGGAGAGGACAGUGGAAUUCCUAGUGUGGCGGUGAAAUGCGUAGAUAUUAGGAGGAACACCAGUGGCGAAGGCGGCUGUCUGGACAUUACCUGACACUGAGAUGCGAAAGCGUGGGGAGCAAACAGG
rnacentral:rRNA from 1 species